UACAGAGGGGGCAAGCGUUGUUCGGAAUUACUGGGCGUAAAGGGCGCGUAGGCGGCCUUCUAAGUCGAACGUGAAAUCCCUGGGCUCAACCCAGGAACUGCGUCCGAUACUGGGAGGCUUGAAUCCGGGAGAGGGAUGCGGAAUUCCAGGUGUAGCGGUGAAAUGCGCAGAUAUCAGGAAGAACACCCGUGGCGAAGGCGGCUCUCUGGGACGGUACUGACGCUGAGACGCGAAAGCGUGGGGAGCGAACAGG
rnacentral:rRNA from 1 species